rnacentral:rRNA from 1 species
CGAUGAAUGCUCAGUGAGGCUCCGGACUGGCCCAGAGAGGUGGGCAACUACCACUCAGGGCCGGAAAGUUGUCCAAACUCGGUCAUUUAGAGGAAGUAAAAGUCGUAACAAGGUCUCCGUUGGUGAACCAGCGGAGGGAUCAUUA